AGUGAACGCUGGCGGUAGGCCUAACACAUGCAAGUCGAACGGCAGCACAGUAAGAGCUUUCUCUUAAGGGUGGCGAGUGGCGGACGGGUAAGGCAUACAUCGGCUUCUACUUUUUCGUGGGUGAUAACGUAGAACAAGUUACGAUAAUACCGCAUACGUCCUACGGGUGAAAGCAGUGGAUCUUCGGACCUUGGGCGAUUGAAUGAGCCGAUGUCGGAUUAGCUAGUUGGCGGGGUAAAGGCACACCAAGGCGACGAUGCGUAGCUGGUCUGAGAGGGUGAUCAGCCACACUGGAACUGAGACACGGUCCAGACUCCUACGGGAGGCAGCAGUGGGGAAUAUUGGACAAUGGGCGCAAGCCUGAUCCAGCCAUGCCGCGUGGGUGAUGAAGGCCUUCGGGUUGUAAAGCCCUUUUGUUGGGAAAGAAAAGCAGCAGAUUAAUACCCCGCUGUUCUGACGGUACCCAAAGAAUAAGCACCGGCUAACUUCGUG
rnacentral:rRNA from 1 species